rnacentral:rRNA from 1 species
UACUAGAGUAGCACUUGCAUAUCAAUAAGCGGAGGAAAAGAAACUAACAAGGAUUCCCCUAGUAACGGCGAGUGAAGCGGGAAGAGCUCAAAUUUGAAAUCUUAAAGGGUUUCCCUUUACGAAUUGUAGUUUAAAGAAGUGUUUUCUGUUGAGGUUUUGGUAAAAGUUCUUUGGAAUAGGACAUCAUAGAGGGUGAGAAUCCCGUAUUUGACCUUUACUUUCAACUUUGUGAUACACUUUCAAAGAGUCGGAUUGUUUGGGAAUGCAGUCCAAAAUGGGUGGUAAAUUUCAUCUAAAGCUAAAUAUUGGCGAGAGACCGAUAGCGAACAAGUACCGUGAGGGAAAGAUGAAAAGAACUUUGAAAAGAGAGUUAAACAGUACGUGAAAUUGUCAAGAGGGAAGCAUUUGACACCAGUGUUGUUUUUCUGAAAAUCAAUUAAAGAACUGUUUAUGCUAAGCUGUUUAGACUUUAUCAGCUAUCUGUUUAGUUUUGAGCUUUUCUUUAAUGCACUUUUCAGUUAACAAGUCAACAUCAAUUUCUUUUGCUGUAAAAAAGCUUGAGGAAGGUGGCUUGAGAUUCGUCUUAAGUGUUUAUAGCCUCUUGCCUAUGCAGUCGGAGAGAUUGAGGUCUGCAGCGUAGAUCCUUCGGGGCUAAAUGCAUUUGUGCUAAGUUAUAGCAUUUCAUAGACAACUUGUUGACUAUGAUUUGUCUUGUAGCUUACUCGCUUAUGUUAUUUUACCUACGCUUAGGAUGUUGAUCUACAGAGCGAGAGU